GCGUGGCAUAACAGAAUAUCAUCAGCGCACGACAAACUGGAAGCGGGUGUGUACUUGUGUGUGUGUGGCGAGGACUGGCGUUACUCGACCUUUAUCACUGAUCUGUGAAAGCUUUGCGGAGUUCUUCGGCUGCUCAGGAAGGAGCCUCCCAGAUACAUAAAUACUUGCUCAGUUCAGUCUCGUCACUCAGAACGGAGGCAGAACUAUAAAUAUAAGAAGAUCAAGUAAAUUUAUGGAUGGGUAUCAUAAAUGAAUUCAGGUCCCCUGCGUCACGUGGGUCGGGACGGUGAGAAGCUACGUCGUAAGAUUCACUCCUGAUACGUGAGAAGACACCGUGCCGUGGACUAGGGGCCUUCUCUUGAGUACAACACGCCCGCCGCUGCUUCCUUUAUCUCCGAACUGAAAGACGCGUACAUGCCUCUCUCAUUCUCCCUGACGUAAUGAUGCACCGGGCAGGGACAUCGUGAAUGGCUGCCUCGCUCCACCGCCAGCCUCUGAGAUUUACUCGGAAGCGCCACGUAUUUGGGUGUUUCGCCCCUCUCAGAGGACUCGGAGAAGGAAGGAACAAAGCUCUGCAGGUUUCAUUUCAGCAGAAGUAAAGGUCAGCUCUCUCACCUGAUAGAUUCCAGGUGGACUAGCACGCCAUUUAAAUGCGAAUCUGGAGGGAGUGGGAGUGCAGCGAUUGCGAAUAAAUGUGCUGAAAUAUGUUAUGUUCGAAUUUGCAGUUGUAUAAAUGAUAAGUGUGUUGUAAAAUGUCCUUAUACAAUCAUAUUUGCUAAACAUUUCAUCAGUGAUGUCAUUGUUUGCACACAGAUUUUUUUUAUUGUACUUGGUAAUUUGCAAUGAGGUUAAAUACACACCUGCAUCUCCAUGAAUUCAGCUUUCUAUAUCAUAAAAAAAUACAUAUAUAAUCCUUUCACCAUGAUCCGACGCCUACUCAUAAAAGGAAAGCUACCAGUAAGGGGGAGGCCAUGGCAGACGUGCCCAACAUUAUCACUGGGCAUGUGGCACGUGUCGGACUAUGAAGGACAGAUGAGCAUGGGCAGCCCCCCAGCAUAGCACCAUCCUCACCAGUGGAAAUGUACUUACAAGAAAAGACAGAAAUGGGUGUGAGAAGUAAAAGAUCCCAACCCUCAUCUUGACAAGGCGUCAGCCCAUCAUUACAGCGUUAAAAUAGCUUAUAAAUAUAAUAUUAGCUAUUUAAGGUAGUCGCCUCCUGUCUAUCCCGUAAAAAAGACUUACAGACAUUAGGUGAUGGCGCUACCAGCAAUCGUGAAUAAAUAAAUAUAUCAGUUUCCCAUAAUAUCCGGUGCAGUCCCACUUUCCCUUACUUUGUAUCCUCCGUUUUCUGAGUUCCUCCCACUGCAGGUGACGUCGUGUAGCUGACGUCAAGAUGUGUGCAUUGGGGGACCUGAUAAACCUACUGGUCUUGUGUUAAUGCAGUUAUGUUGAAGGACUAGAGAGAGAGAUCCUGAUGUAGGAUAUGAAGUGAAUUUCGAAACAUAACGUAACACUUGUAUGCAACUUCGAUAUUUGUUUCUGACAUGAAGGCCAAGGUUGGCGAUGCGUAGCAUAUUUGUUUAACCCUUUCACUGUGACAUGCAUUAAUUCACAGCGCUAGAAGGAAUGCGUGCAAUAUUUAUAAUGACUUAAAUGAAAGGAGGGGAUUGAAAAGAAUAGACAGCAAUUUCUGACUCGUGUAACAUUUGAGGUGGCUGUAGAAUACGAAAAGAUGUCAGUAAUGAAGGAGAGAUGUGCCAGAAAGCAGUGGAAGGGUUAAGCAAACAACUGCAGUCAUGCUAAGACCUUUUUGAAAUAGUCGCGCAAGUUUAUUUAAUAUCAUACUGUAGAGGCUUUUACUAAUGGAUUAAAUUUCACCUUUCUGUAUCACUUUACCUAACAUCCUCUCUCUCUCUCUCUCUCUCUCUCUCUCUCUCUCUCUCUCUCUCUCUCUCUCUCUCUCUCUCUCUCUCUCUCUCUCUCUCUCUCUCUCUCUCUCUUAGGUCAGCGUUGCUCCAUCAAUCAAUCAUUCACUAUGGUAUCAAUUAUUCCCCAAUUUUCUUCUGUCUAUUAUUUUUAAUUCAUACGAUAACAUUUAGCAACCUUUUAUUUUCUUCACCUGGGACGUGAAAACGCGAUACACUUUUCCCCCGCGUUGGAACGAGUGAGUAAAAGUUGAAGCGGCAAAGUAGAAGCGGCAAUAUUUCUCAUCGCUUCGUUCUGUUCUGCGUGGAGUGAUGAAAGGCAACGCAAGCUUCAGAAAAAAAAAAAAAAGAGGGAACGCUGCGAAACUCCCCUCAAGGUCUGCUGUGUCUUUUUUCCCUUUUUUUUCCCUAUCCAUGUUUAUUUGGUCGUUUAUUUCCUUUCAUAUAUUUUCACCGAGGAUCAACCUUUAUCUGUGCGCAUCUGUUCUUUCUUCCUGCCUUUAGAGUAUUGCUGUAAAUAAAUAGAAACUGGAAAAAGAAAACGGGGCAGUUGCUACAGACUAGAGCGAGGAGAAACUAUUCGAAAUUGAUAACGAAGAUAAAAAUGUACUGUUUUAUUGUGAAGUCCGUGCGAUUUUUAUAAUUAUUUCUAGACUAUUAUACGGUUAUCAAAUGCUAAUUAAAAGUGAUGUGACAGGACGUAUGCUAAUUCGUCUCGUCCAAGUGAAAUGAAUCAUGGUAUCAGUCAGGAUCGGAAUACAUUAUAUUUAUAUUAAUCUCCUUUUCCACAUUACCCGGAAGAGAGUUUGGC